ACAGAGACAAAGAGGAGGGUGGAGAUAGUCAAAAGGAGAAUGAAUCAAACGGCUUAAGUAAGUUUAUUUACAUGUGUAAUUGUGUGAUAAUUUUUGUUGUGAAGUAGCUAUGAGAAGGACUAUUAAGCUAAAAAGCAAGAAGAAAGAAGGAAGGCCCUUAGGCAAUUAAACAAUAGUUGAAUUACUUGUACUUUAAAUUCACAUUUCUUAACUAAAGACUUGGAACAGUUCAGGCCUGCU